GUUUGGGGGAGGUGGCUAAGUGGUUUGCUGAGCACAUGAGGGAGGACCUGAACAGGAAUCCCCAGAUCCUAUGUGAAGCCAGGCCUGAGAGAGCAUCUGUAAUCCUAGCUUUCUUGUGAUUUCCUCACAAUAGCAAGACGGCUUCAAGAGCUCCAGGCCUCACAUCCUCCAAGGACAACGGCUAAUGCAGAAAGGAAGAAUAUCUUCACUUCUCACUACUUUUGCACCAUAGAAUCCUGCCUUGACCAGAGUAUGUAGUGGCUUCUUAUUCUUCAUCGGCCAGAUGGAGCUCAUGUCCACUCCUGAACCAAGAGACUGAGAUCACAACACAAUCCAUUUCCUGAAAAGAAAAUGAAACCAGCACCAAUAAAGGGAUAUGACUGUU
rnacentral:sRNA from 1 species